rnacentral:rRNA from 1 species
ACGCGUCGAACCUUACCAACCCUUGACAUGGGUAUCGCGGGACCGGAGACGGUCCUUUCAGUUCGGCUGGAUACCACACAGGUGCUGCAUGGCUGUCGUCAGCUCGUGUCGUGAGAUGUUCGGUUAAGUCCGGCAACGAGCGCAACCCACAUUUUUAGUUGCCAUCAUUCAGUUGGGCACUCUAGAAAAACUGCCGGUGAUAAGCCGGAGGAAGGUGUGGAUGACGUCAAGUCCUCAUGGCCCUUACGGG